CCUACGGGAGGCAGCAGUGAGGAAUAUUGGUCAAUGGGCGCGAGCCUGAACCAGCCAAUUAGCGUGAAGGAUGACUGCCCUACGGGUUGUAAACUUCUUUUAUAAAGGACUAACGUUCGGCACGUGUGCCUUUUUGUGUGUACUUUAUGAAUAAGGAUCGGCUAACUCCGUGCCAGCAGCCGCGGUAAUACGGAGGAUCCGAGCGUUAUCCGGAUUUAUUGGGUUUAAAGGGUUCGUAGAUGGGUUGUUAGGUCAGUUGUGAAAGUUUGGGGUCCAACCGUCAAAGUGCAAUUGAAACUGGUAGUCUUGAGUACAUGUGAGGUAGGCGGAAUUCGUGGUGUAGCGGUGAAAUGCAUAGAUAUCACGAAGAACUCCGAUUGCGAAGGCAGCUUACCAAUCCAUAUCUGACGUUGAGGCACGAAAGCGUGGGUAGCAAACAGGAUUAGAUACCCCUGUAGUC
rnacentral:rRNA from 1 species